GGGCCCGUAGCUCAGCUGGUUAGAGCGCCACUCUUAUAAGGUGGAUGUCGAUGGUUCGAGCCCAUCCGGGCCUACCA
rnacentral:tRNA from 2 species